ACUCCUACGGGAGGCAGCAGUGGGGAAUAUUGCACAAUGGGCGCAAGCCUGAUGCAGCCAUGCCGCGUGUAUGAAGAAGGCCUUCGGGUUGUAAAGUACUUUCAGCAGUGAGGAAGGCAGGUACGUUAAUAGCGUGCUUGUUUGACGUUAGCUGCAGAAGAAGCACCGGCUAACUCCGUGCCAGCAGCCGCGGUAAUACGGAGGGUGCGAGCGUUAAUCGGAAUUACUGGGCGUAAAGCGCAUGCAGGUGGUUUGUUAAGUCAGAUGUGAAAGCCCGGGGCUCAACCUCGGAAUUGCAUUUGAAACUGGCAGACUAGAGUACUGUAGAGGGGGGUAGAAUUUCAGGUGUAGCGGUGAAAUGCGUAGAGAUCUGAAGGAAUACCGGUGGCGAAGGCGGCCCCCUGGACAGAUACUGACACUCAGAUGCGAAAGCGUGGGGAGCAAACAGGAUUAGAUA
rnacentral:rRNA from 1 species